rnacentral:Y_RNA from 1 species
AGUCCCAGUGCAGUGGUAUUUACAACUAAUUGUAAACAACCAAUUGCAGAUUCCUUUGUUUCUUCUCCAUUCCCACUGCUUCACUUAAAAAAUUUAGU